rnacentral:rRNA from 1 species
GAGGAAUAUUGGUCAAUGGGCGAGAGCCUGAACCAGCCAAGUCGCGUGAAGGAAGACUGCCUUAUGGGUUGUAAACUUCUUUUAUACAGGAAUAAAAAGGCUUACGUGUAGGCCAUUGCAAGUACUGUAUGAAUAAGCAUCGGCUAACUCCGUGCCAGCAGCCGCGGUAAUACGGAGGAUGCGAGCGUUAUCCGGAUUUAUUGGGUUUAAAGGGUGCGCAGGCGGGCUUUUAAGUCAGCGGUGAAAUCUGGACGCUUAACGUCCAAACUGCCGUUGAAACUGGGAGUCUUGAGUAUGGAUGAAGUAGGCGGAAUUCGUUGUGUAGCGGUGACAUGCAUAGAUAUAACGAGGAACUCCGAUUGCGUAGGCAGCUUACUAAGCCAUAACUGACGCUCAUGCACGAAAGCGUGGGGAUCAAAC